rnacentral:rRNA from 1 species
CCUACGGGAGGCAGCAGUAGGGAAUAUUGGUCAAUGGGUGAGAGCCUGAACCAGCCAUGCCGCGUGCAGGAAGAAGGCCUUCUGGGUUGUAAACUGCUUUUGCCAGGGGAUAAAAAUACCUUGCGAGGUAAAUUGAAGGUACCUGGUGAAUAAGCCACGGCUAACUACGUGCCAGCAGCCGCGGUAAUACGUAGGUGGCAAGCGUUGUCCGGAUUUAUUGGGUUUAAAGGGUGCGUAGGCGGCCCUGUAAGUCAGUGCUGAAAUAUCCCAGCUUAACUGGGAGGGUGGCAUUGAUACUGCGGGGCUAGAGUACAGAUGAGGUAGGCGGAAUUGACGGUGUAGCGGUGAAAUGCUUAGAUAUCGUCAAGAACACCUAUAGCGAAGGCAGCUUACUAGGCUGUAACUGACGCUGAGGCACGAAAGUGUGGGGAUCAAGCAGGAUUAGAUACCCUGGUAGUCCACACUGUAAACGUUGAUUACUCGCUGUGUGCGAUAUACAGUACGCGGCCAAGCGAAAGCGCUAAGUAAUCCACCUGGGGAGUACGCCGGCAACGGUGAAACUCAAAGGAAUUGACGG